ensembl:snRNA predicted gene, 23197
AGGCUCACUUCCUCACCACAUAUACUAAAAUUGGAGCAAAGCACAGAAAAUUAGCAUGUCAUGGUUCCUAUGCAAGGAUGACAUGCGAAUCUUUGGAGCACUCCAUAUGUAU